UAUUAUUCCUCCCCUUUGAGCAUUAUUAUCCUAUAUUCUAUAUCUCUAUUAUUCCAUGCAUUACCCAUUCAUGAUUUUAAAUGCAUAACUUGAACAUAUAGCAAACCAGAUAUAUGCUAGAUUUUGCUUAGCCAUGCCUAGUUAGAUUGCAUAAAAUAUAACGAACUUAGAUUGGAACAGUACGGUAGAAAUGCAUGAUUUCCGGGUGGCUCAUACUGUUCCAACCGACAUAAGAUUGCCAAGUACAUCUGAAGAACGAACGAGUACGACCGCCAAUUCUAGAAUGGGGACAGACUUAGCAAAGUAGGUUAUCUAGCAAAGGUGGUACCUCUGUACAGUGGUUCUUCUUUAAGUCCUCACGCAGGAGGCAAAUUUACGCCGAGCAGGGCGAUUAUAAUAUUUACCGAGGCACAGGUAAAUAUAUUGAUUAUUGCGCGCUGUGUGUGUAUUGUGAAAACCUGGUUGGGAUGACGGGGGUCUCUCAACCAAUUCUCUCUCUAAAAACCUCGGGAACGCCAGAACUCCUCUCGCUGCUGAUAACGUUAUGUUCAGAGCGCAUGAGGAUGAGAGUUCAUGGAACAGAUGCCACUGAUGUUAGUAACCGAAAAGUUUUGCCAUGACUAAGCUGAUGAAUAUUAGCAUGUCAUGGAUGGCGGGUAAAGCAUACAUCUACUGUAGUAUGAGUAUUUCUGAAACUAUUCGAAUAGCCGUGCUCACGGAUAUUAAGCAUCGGGACUCACUAUGGCAUCUUGGUUAGAAAUAUAACUCCAGAUUUUAUUAAAUAUUGUUGCAUUCAAAACAUUAUAGAAUUUCUCCUUCUACUUUCUUAGCUUUCUGCAAAUAGAUCUAGCCACUACGCGAGACCAUGUCAUCUCUGACGGGCCCAAACCCUCACCUUUGACAGGUUUGAUGAAUAUUAGCAUGUCAUGGAUGGCGGGUAAAGCAUACAUCUACUGCAGUAUGAGUAUUUCUGAAACUAUUCGAAUAGCCGUGCUUACGGAUAUUAAGCAUCGAGACUCACUAUGGCAUCUUGGUUAGAAAUAUAACUCCAGAUUUUAUUAAAUAUUGUUGCAUUCAAAACAUUAUAGAAUUUCUCCUUCUACUUUCUUAGCUUUCUGCAAAUAGAUCUAGCCACUACGCCGGACCAUGUCAUCUCUGACGGGCCCAAACCCUCACCUUUGACAGGUUUGGUCUUGGUCAGUGAUUAGUGGUCACUGAUGACAAAAUCACCUGUGACGGGUGUGUCAUCUCUGACGGGAUAAAACUUGUCACCCAUCACAUAUGAGUUAUCAGUGACGUGUCGUAACUACCUGUCCGUCACUGAUGACUCAUCUCUGACGGGUUGUAACUUACGACCCGUCAGUGAUGACAAAGCAAGAAAUACAAUUUUUGAAUUUUAAACGCAACAAAAAAACCUCAAAAAAAUAUUUUGAAUUUUACUAGCCAUCCUAUACAUGGUCACACAUCAACUACCUACAAAUUCACAAUUUUUUACGCAAUAUAACUUGUAUGCUACACAUGAGAUUCGAACUCAAGACCUCAACCUCCAUAUAGAGCUCCCUUACCAACUCACCUACUCAACAAAUAUUGACUACUCACCCAAUGUUAUUAUUUUGUCUAUGCUUGUCUGAAUCAUUUAACAUAUAUUUAACACCCUAAAUGACUUCAAAUGAAAAUAUUAUCAACUAAAUAGUUAUAGAUCUCAUCGUGUUUUAUAACUUUUACAUAGAAAAUAUCUUCAUUCGAUGUUGUUUGAAGAAUUCAAAAUUUCAUUUUUCAAAAUAUAUCUCACUUUAUAACAUGUAAACUUUGUGAAAUGAAAAUAUUUUCAAUUAUAAUAUUGUAGAUCUGGUUGAGUUCUAUGACUUUGAUACGGGGCAUGUAUCCAUCCAUGUCAUUUGAAAAAAACUCAAAAUUUUGUUUUUAAAAGUAGAUCUGAUCACUUGUAAUGCAUGUUCGGGGAUGUAAAUGAUCUCUAAUAGAAAUGUUGUUAGUUAUAAAGUUGUGGAUAUCAUCGAGAGCUACAACUUUUAUAUAGGACAUGUCUCAAUCCGAGGUUUUUUGUAAAAUUUGAAAAUUUGAAUUUUCACUCAUCACUAACGGGUCAUGACUACCACCCGUCAGAGAUAACGUUAUCUGUGACGUAUGUUAGUUAAAGACCCAUCAGAGAUAAGUGGUCUCUUUUGUGAUGGUUCAUAAUACUACACCCGUCACAGAUGAUCUGUGACGAGCCAUUGUUGUGACCCGUCACAGACGAUCUGUGACGGGUUACAAGUGCAAGCCGUCACAGAUGACCUCACAUCUGUGACGGGUCCUCCCUGGUAGCCAUAUAUUGAAGAGGAUAUUUUUUCGGCCCGUCAGAGAUGACUCAUCUUUGACGAAUUGUGUUGGCCCGUCACAAAUGACCCGUCACUGAAGCCCAGAUCUGUAGUAGUGCUCUACUCAAAUACUAUUAUUUCAUACAUUCAUACUUGAAUAUAAUAGCUUGCUGAGUACGUUGUACUCACCCUUGCUUUAACCCCCUUCUUUCAGAGUUAAUUUGGAGUUCUUGCCGAAGCCGAGAGUUCAAUCAUAUAAGUUAGUUUCCUUUCAACCUAGUUCUCAAGUCUAGAUUAGUUAGAUGGUUUAAGUCUAUAGCAAAACAUUAGGAUUGAGUCAUUCUAUAGCUUCUGUUGUAUUAGUUAGCCACAAUUUGCCACAAUUUUGUAAAUUCCCCUAUUAUUUUGUAAUAUCAACUCCUUUGGAGCCUUAUUCUAAUAUAUGCAAUGAAGAUCCAGAUUGUUAAACCUGUAACAAUCUACUGAUCUAGGGCUUGAUACAGUCUAAACAUGUCGGUUUCUUUAGUCUAUAUGCCCCUUCUCUCUCUCUAUGCUGUUACACGGGAAGGAGAGGAGGAAGAUGACGGGAGGAAGAAGAAGAAAGAAAAGAAAAAGAAAAAGAAAGACUGACAGUAGAGUCUAUUAUAUUCUGGAUGGCAACCUGAGGUAUUUCUAGCAUCGGAUAAUCAGGUUGCCUAUCUUGGAUUUAUUUGCGUUGGAGCAAAGCAAGUUAUUAUUCCUCCCCUUGAGCAUAAUUAUCCUAUAUUCUAUAUCUCUAUUCUAUGCAUUAGUCAUUCAUGAUUUUGAAUACAUAACCUGAACAUAUAGCAAACCAGACAUAUGCUAGCUUUGCUUAGCCCUGCCUAGUUAGUCUGCAUAAAAAUAUAAUGAACUUAGAUUGGGACAGUACGUAGGAAUUGGUUGAUUUUCGGGUGGCUAGUACUGUCUCAGUCAAUAUAGUUAUUACCAAGUACUUAUGUCAAACGAACGAGUACGACCGCAAUUUUAGAAUAGGGACAGACCUUGCAAAGUAAGUUAUCUAGCAAAGGUGGUACCUCUAUACAGUGGUUCUUAUUUAAGUCCUCGCUCAGGAGGCAAACUUAUGCCGCGAAGGGCAUAUGCCACGAAGGGCAAAUAUAACAUUUACUGAGGCGCAGGUAAAUGAUAUGUUGAGCUCAAGUGUGUGUAUAUUGUGAAAACCUAGUUGAGAUGACGGGGGUCUCUCAACCAGUUCUCUCUCUAAAAACCUCGGGAACGCCAGAACUCCUCUCGCUACUGAUAACGUUACGUUCAGAGCGCAUUAGGAUGAGAGUUCAUGGAACAGGUACCACUGAUGUUAGUAACCGAAAAGCUUUGCCAUGACUAAGCUAAUGAAUAUUGGCAUGUCAUGGAUUGCGGGUAAAGCGUACAUUUACUGCAGUAAAGUAAAAAUGAAUCUAUUCGAAUAGCCGUGCUCAUGGAAUUGAGUAUCGGGACUCAGAUGGUACUUUGGUUAGAAACUUAAUUCAAGAUUUUACUAAAUGCUGCUGCAUUUCAAGCAUCAGGCUUUCUAUUUCUAUAUUCUCUGCCUUCUGCAAGUAAUCGUAAUCCUACUCAAAUAUUACCUUUUCAUACAUUCAUUAUUGAAUAUAAUAGCUUGCUGAGUACGUUGUACUCAUCCUUGCUUCAACCCCCUUUUUCCAGAGUUAAAUUGAAGUUCUUGCUGAAGCCAGGAGUUCAAUCAUAUAAGUUAGUCUUAUUUCAACCUAGUUCUCAAAUCUAGAUUAGUUAGAUGGUUUAAGUCUAUAGCAAAACAUUAGAGUUGAGUCAUUCUAUAGCUUCUGUUGUGAUAGUUAGCCACAAACUUGCAAAUUCCCCUAUUAUUUUAUGUAAUAACAUCUCCUUUGGAGCCUUGUUUAAAUGUACGCAAUGAAGAUCCAGAUUGUUGAAGCUGUAUCAA